rnacentral:rRNA from 1 species
CAUGUCCUUUUGAGUUUAAUUUAAGGUCUAAUCUGCUCAAUGAAUAUUAAAUAGCCGCAGUAUUUUAACUGUGCAAAGGUAGCAUAAUAAUUAGUUUCUUAAUUAGGAACUGGAAUGAAUGAUUGGACAAGAAAAUAUCUGUCUCUUUUUUAAAUUUUUUGAAUUUUAUUUUUAAGUGAAAAAGCUUAAAUUUUUAUAAAAGACGAGAAGACCCUAUAGAGUUUUAUAUAAUUGAGUAAUUUAAAUUUGGGAAUAAAUUUUAUUUAAUUUUAUUUGGUUGGGGUGAUUUAAAGAUAUAAAUAAUUCUUUAAUUUGAAAAUUGGUGAUUUCUAAAUUUUAAAUCUAUAUUUUGUAAAAAUAAAAUAAAUUACCUUAGGGAUAACAGCGUAAUUUUUCUUAAAAGUUCAUAUUAAAAGGAAAGUUUGCGACCUCGAUGUUGGAUUAAAAUUAAUUUUUGGUGCAAUAGCUUAAAAAUUAGGUCUGUUCGACCUUUAAAAUUUUACAUGAUCUGAGUUUAAAUCGGCGUGAGCCAGGUUGGAUUCUAUCUUUAGAAUGUUAAUAUAUUUUAGUACGAAAGGACCAAAUAUUUAUUAAAUUAAUU